GACGAACGCUGGCGGCGUGCCUAAUACAUGCAAGUCGAGCGGACAGAAGGGAGCUUGCUCCCGGAAGUUAGCGGCGGACGGGUGAGUAACACGUGGGCAACCUACCCUGUAGAUCGGGAUAACAUCGAGAAAUCGGUGCUAAUACCGGAUAAUCAUUUGAAGUGCAUGCUUCGAAUGUAAAAGAUGGCUCCGGCUAUCACUACGGGAUGGGCCCGCGGCGCAUUAGCUGGUUGGUAAGGUAGUGGCUUACCAAGGCAACGAUGCGUAGCCGACCUGAGAGGGGGAUCGGCCACACUGGGACUGAGACACGGCCCAGACUCCUACGGGAGGCAGCAGUAGGGAAUCUUCCGCAAUGGACGAAAGUCUGACGGAGCGACGCCGCGUGAGUGAUGAAGGUUUUCGGAUCGUAAAGCUCUGUUGUUAGGGAAGAACAAGUGCCGUUUGAAUAAGGCGGCACCUUGACGGUACCUAACCAGAAAGCCACGGCUAACUACGUGCCAGCAGCCGCAGUAAUAC
rnacentral:rRNA from 1 species